rnacentral:lncRNA from 1 species
GAGACAUUUUAGAUUACAGAAAUUAUAUAUUUAUAAAGAAAAGAUUCUAGGAGUUGAUUAAUCAUAAAGACAUUUACAAAGAAAAGAUAGAUAGAUUUGGAAAAUAUAUAACAUAUAUAUAUAUAUAUAUAUAUAUAUAUACAGACUAUAUGAUCGAGUGGAGAUGAGAAGGAGAUAAAGCCAUGAGAAAAAGAAAACAAAGGAUGAAAAGAGGAACAAAGAAGAUUACCAGAGGAGGUGGUGGCAAAGGUGGGAAUACCAGCGGCAGCACCAGAAUCAACACUGUCAACACAACCAUUAUCAAUAUCCUCCCUCUCAUGUCAACACACAGACACACAUAUGUAUAUCUAUAUAUGUAUACACCAUAAUUAAGUCCUGCAACACAUAGGCUAGGGUUUCAUGCAUCAUGAAUUACUGCAUCUUGAAGAAGUUAAAACUUAGGCUCAUGUUUGUCUAUGUUUUUGUAGAGGAGAUAAUCUCAUACGAAUGAAUUAUUAAGUGGGUAAACUUGAUUAUCUGAUUCUUAAUUAUCUAUACAGAACCGAUGGGGAAGGAGCUCUACUGGCCG